AUUUAAUUUCUAGCCAAAUUGCAUUUAAGCUUCUUUGUUCAAGAACUUGCCUUUCUGAGUUAGAAGCAAUGACAUUUGAACACUUGAUUGCAUGUUGCUGUAAUACUUACAUUUAGUUUUUAUUGGAAAAAUACCAUUCUGAUUAGAAAACUACAGCCACUGUGUUAUCUUUAUUUACAUCUUCAUCCAAAAAGUUACAAGUUAAUGGAAUAUAAAGAACCCACAAUGCAGUUCCUAAGUAGCCCUAUUAUCAAUAAACAGCUAAGAAAGUACCUUGUACUUAGGAACAUCAAGCACAUCAGGAGGAAGACGGAAGUUGAAUUAUGAUGGCAUUGCAUGGUUCACAAUAUAUUCUCAACCAGAAUUCUUAUUACUUUUUUUGAAGUUCCCUGGUAAGGUUUCAGUAUUAAGAAGCUCUCUUUUAUUCUUUCCAUGAUUGUUUAUGUUGGACCUCACAUACUCCAAGCUGUUUUGCUUUUUUUUUUUUUUUUUAUUUAGCUCACCCCAAAACAUCAGAGCUUAUGGACAUUCCUACAGCUGAUAAAGCAAAGUAAAUGGCCUUUAUGUCUCAAGCUAAAAAGCAGUGUGGCAGAUUAAAUGGCAUGCCCUUCUUUGAAAAGUGACAAGAAAGAAAAACUCCACGAGUGCAAAGCCACUUGUUUUUCACUUUCAGGAUUCCAGUUGCUCAUCCAGUUGCUUCUGGGCUCGUUAAGGGACUGCAAAACACGCAGGUGAUUUUGGGGAACAUCUUAAUAUUGUGUACAUGGUGCAGAACAUAGCAUAAUGUACAGAAAGCCCUCAGAGGGAAAUAUAAACCUCCAUUGGCAGACUCCAGUUCUUCAGGAAAACAAUGUGUAGUAGAACUGGUGAGCUUCCUGGUAACUAUUUUCUGCAGCUCUGGGCAUGUUUGCUUCCUAAGACUCUGCAGGAGAGAGCGGAGGAGGCUAUGAGAUCCAAAGCUCAUGGUGGCUCAAGGUGUUCAACUGGAUCCAUAACAAGAAGAACACAUCAGUUACACAACACCCUACUUAUGGAAAAGACUCAAAAAUACCAACAAAAAGAGGGCUGGGGCAACAUCAUGAAAUUCAAGUCUUUAACGAGCCACCAUUCAAGAUAUUUAGAAGUGUUCUUCC
rnacentral:lncRNA from 1 species